CUCUGUGUUUGGGUGGGCCCUGCUGAUUGUAUUAUGGUUUGAUUUUCACUUGCUUCCUGCCAUACCUUUUUGCUCUGAGUUCUUCUCUCCCCUUUCAAUUGGUCACAUCUUUUGCAUAGUACAGAGAAGCUGUUCCCAGAUGUGGUUGAACUUGGUCUGCAUGUGCACCAAGAGGGAGCCCUGGGCUGGUGUGGGGCAGGGACAUGCAGGAUGACUGAGCCCUGGGCACCUUGCACAGCAGAUGGUUAUCGACCAGUAUAGCUGAGUGUUCUGCCUGGUGUCUCACCUCUCCCAGCCUCCUUGCAAGUAGGGGGACCACGGAAGGCUCCACUUAAUGAAACAUUCACAAGCCUACUGGGAGACUUCUCUCUCCUCCUCUCAGUCACGCAUGGAGGCAGCAUGCUGGGUGACAGACCCAGAGGAUGGAACAGCGUGGGUCCCUGAAGUCCACGUAGAGAAGCUGCUCUGGUCUGGGCCACUUCAUUCCUCAUCUUGACCACCGAGACACUCUCCCGUCUGGUGUCCUUCCCUGUAGACUCAUCUGAGACACCUGCACGUAGCUACAGGGAGCCCGUCCGAGUCCUGUGACCCUGAUAAAGGUCUUCCUUCAUCAUAUGAUUUGUAGCAGUAAAAAUAAAAGAAUUUGGAAGAAGUUAAGGUCACACUGUACAGACACCACACCACUAUAUCAUGUUAAAUAAAAUGUCA
ensembl:lncRNA